rnacentral:rRNA from 1 species
CGUAGGCUGCUAACUAAACAUCUAGUCAAAGACUAAGGAAAAGAGCCUUUUUAAUCUAGAUCUAUUUGUUAGCUUGAGUGUUUUAGGUGGCUUAUACAUUCUUGAAGUAAGGGUGAAAUUGUUGAUAACUAGAAGAUGUUCAAAGGCGAAAGCGAUCGCAAUAAAACUCUGACGCUAAGGUACGAAAGCUUGGGGAUCGAAACGGAUUAGAGACCGUGUAGUCCAGGCCGUAAACAUGGGUGUUAAAUAUCUUGAGCCGUGCUUUUUUUAAAGUAUCUUGGGGAAUUUUAAGCUAACGCGUCAAACACCCCGCUGGGGAAUGUGGCCACAAGGCUUAAACUCAAAAGAAUUGACGGUGGCUCAUACAAGG